rnacentral:misc_RNA from 1 species
UUGGCUAUGAUGUACAUCACAGGUAGAUUAAUUUAUGGGAGGUUAAAUUUUUGUUAUUUCUGACUCUACCUUAAUUCCGGUGCUGCGGUAAGUGUACUCAUGCUCCGUACUACGACUAUCACGCGUUAUUUUCGAACAAAUUUACGUAAAAACGAUCUUUACUGCAAGAUCAAAAUACGAUACUAACUGACCUUUAACGACUGACAAAUAGACACUUUUAAACAAAAUAACGCGUCAGACAUAAUAUUCUAAUAAAAUUAGUAAAAUUGCGUGCUAGAAUAUAGGUUUAGAAAUUCGAAAAAUACCCAAAACCGAAUCGGAGCACCCC